UUCUGUGCUCUGGUCUUGUAGCUGGUGGCCUGGGAGAUGCUUUGGGUGCUGGAAGCUAAGGCUGCUCCUGGAAUCUCUAAGUCAAUACUAUGGAUCCUUUGACAUGGCAUGCAGCGUUCUGCCACGAAAACAGCGGCAGAAUACAAAUCAACCCACCCCAUGCACAGACGGCUGGGAUCCUUUGAGACUCUUGUUUUAUGGAUGAAAUAAAUUCAGCCAAUGGGGAAUGGAAGGCACACAUAAAUAAUACAUAGCAAUAGCAAUAUUGGUUUUAUUUGGAAAAAAAAGAAAAAAGAAAUGGAAUCUGCCUUGGAGACAGCCAGGCUGGAGGCAGCCACAGUGAAGAUGAGGGUGAUGCACCACAAUGAAGACUUCGUGUUACGUAGUGAGGACCACAAAGCGGCCACACCAUCCUCGUCCAGAUGUGCUGGAGGAACACCAGAUGAGAUUUUAUCCUAAACCCCCACUCUGCAUCUGGAGAGAUGAAAUGGUGCUGGGGUGGCAGGACUCCGAACUGGAGGCCAACAAAAGCAAUAAUGCUGAUAAGGACAGCAGGAAUGAUAAUACGGAGUUGAGGAAGAAAAAGAAAGAAAGGAUAAAAGAUGAGCAGGAGAAAAUUAGAGAAGUAGAAUCCAGGUUUCCAUUUAUUUUUCACAGAUUCUCACUGUAUAAGUUCCUUGAGUCCUUGAAAGAAAGGCAAUAAUUAGGUUAUUUUACCUAUUUGGUCAUUUUUAUCUUGAAACAAAAAUCCUGUAUCCUUGAAGCGAACAUAUUCAGAUCUAACUUUCACAUACAAGAAGGCCGCUUUACUCUGCUCACAGUAAAGAAUGUACUCAGGUGGGAGUAUGCUGACAUUACAAAGUCUCUUCAAACAGCCGAAGGAAUUUCAGUACAAAUGAGCCUCAAGCCACCUGCUUUGCAUAUUUUUAUCUGAUUCUAGUGCACGUGAAUGGUUUGCUCUGAUAGUAAUUGAAUAUCCAUAUGUGGAUUAAUACCUCCAGCACAGAAGAAUAUGGAUAUGUUUGUGCUGCUUGAAACUAGUCUGCACGUGCAACCUGAUUCUGGGUAACAUUGCAAAUACUUACGUAACUUAGAAAUCAGAGUGCUAUUCAAAAGCUUCUAACUCAUUCUGAGUCUGGUUUUGAGAAGUCUGUGUGAGAAACAGAUUUACUCACCCUCUAGAUAUUACACUGACAGCAGGUAGUAUUUGAGACAACUCUGACGUCAAAGUAGCAUUGUACGAAAUUCCUUAGGUAACCUCUAACACUUCUGCUCCUGCUACGUAU
ensembl:lncRNA